UUACAUUGAGAAGCGUAAGAAGGGAUCUAGACCCUUGAUCACUUUUAAUUCAGCCCCACCCACGAAUUGUAGUUAUCACAGAAAUUGAUCUGGCGCAUCUCGGUGCACCGUAUUCGUGUUGAUCUUCAAUAGGAUUGACCCAAGGGUGAGAUCCCUUCUUACCCUUCUUAU
rnacentral:ncRNA from 2 species